CGGCCGCGCCUUGCCCAAGCGGCCGCUCCUGGUUUUCCGCGGGGCCGGGAGGGGGCGGGGCAGUGGGCGGGGCUCCGGAUUUGAGUCCGAUUUGGGGAGUGGCGCGAGUUAGGAACUGGCUGGAAGAUGGGGUGUGUGUGCGUAUAUGGGAGCGAGGAAAGCGCUGUAGGAAGCAUGCAGGCCGCUUUAUUUUACAGCUGUGGGAGUGGUGGACAAGGGCGGCGGCUCUGCGAGAAGCACGUGGGCGCGGCGGGCCGCCUCAGGGAUGGAGUAGGCUGUGGUCUUGCCAACUCCCGUUAUCAAAGGCCCAAGGACGCCAUUCACUCAGCCCCGGGCGGGCGUGGGUCUGGGGGCCGGAAACCCGAAGUCCUGUGGGUGCCGUGGAAUGCACGAGCAGCCGGCGGAGCAAACCUGCCCCAUAGAUUUUUCUAAACCGUUCGCCACAGAAACGCUACUCUGUCUUCUCUGACCGACUCUGUGCACUGCAGCCUUGCACAAAGAAAACAGGAGAAAACCAAAUACAGCAAGAAUGAGAGAAAUUGCACUGUUGCAUUAAAAAGAAUUUUCCUGCCGGGCGCAGUGACUCACGCCUGUAAUCUCAGCACUUGGGGAGGCCGAGGCGGGUGGAUCACGAGGUCAAGAGAUCAAGACCAUCCUCGCCAACAUGGUGAAACCCCGUCUCUACUAAAAAUACAAAAAAUUAGCCGGGUGUGGUGGCGGAUGCCUGUAGUCCCAGCUACUCAAGAAGCUGAGGCAGGAGAAUCACUUGGACCCUGGAGGCAGAGGUUGCAGUGAGCCGAGAUUUCGCCACUGCACUCCAGCCUGGCGACAUAAUGAGACUCUGUCUUAAAAAAAAAAAAAAAAGGAAUUUUCCUCUCACUUUCUUCUCACCACUACUAGAUUAAAGGAGCCCCCUUUUCUUCUGCAGGUGAGAGGUGACAGCGUGCUGGCAGUCCUCACAGCCCUCGCUCGCUCUCAGCGCCUCCUCUGCCUGGGCUCCCACUUCGGCGGCACUUUAGGAGCCCUUCAGCCCACCACUGCACUGUGGGAGCCCCUUUCUGGGCUGGCCAAGGCCGGGGCCGGCUCCCUCAGCUUGCAGGGAGGUGUGGAGAGAGAGGCGCGAGCGGGAACCGGGGCUGCGCGCGUGGCUUGAGGGCCAGCUGGAGUUCCGGGUGGGCGUGGGCUUGGCGGCCCAGCACUCGGAGCAGCCCCCUGCCGGUCCCGGGCAAUGAGGGGCUUAGCACCCAGGCCAGCGGCUGCGGAGGGUGUACUGGGUCCCCCAGCAGUGCCGGCCCACCGGUGCUGCACUCGAUUUCUCGCCGGGCAGGGCUCGGGACCUGCAGCCCACCAUGCCUGAGCCUCCCACCCCCUCCGUGGGCUCGUGUGCGGCCGGAGCCUCCCCUAGGAGCGCCGCCCCCUGCUCCAGGGCGCCCAGUCCCAUCGACCACCCAAGGGCUGAGGAGUGCCGGCGCACGGCGCGGGACUGGCAGGCAGCUCCACCUGCAGCCCCAUUGCGCGAUCCACUGGGUGAAGCCAGCUGGGCUUCUGAGUCUGGUGGGGAUGUGGAGAAGCUUUAUGUCUAGCUCAGGGAUUGUAAAUAUACCAAUCGGCACUCUGUAUCUAGCUCAAGGUUUGUAAACACACCAAUCAGCACCCCUGUCUAGCUCAGGGUUUGUGAAUGCAAUCGACACUCUGUAUCUAGCUACUCUGGUGGGGACUUGGAGAACCUUUGUGUGGACACUCUGUAUCUAGCUAAUCUGGUGGGGACGUGGAGAACCUUUAUAUCUAGCUCAGGGAUUGUAAACACACCAAUCAGCGCCCUGUCAAAACAGACCACUCAGCUCUACCAAUCAGCAGGAUGUGGGUGGGGCCAGAUAAGAGAAUAAAAGCAGGCUGCCCAUGCCAGGAGUGGCAACCUGCUCGGGUCCCAUUCCACACUAUGGGAGCUUUGUUCCUUCACUCUUUGCAAUAAAUCUUGCUGCUGCUCACUCUUUGGGUCCACACUGCCUUUAUGAGCUGUAACACUCACUGCGAAGGUCUGCAGCUUCACCACGAACCCACCGGGAGGAACGAACAACUCCAGAUGCGCCGCCUUAGGAGCUGUAACACUCGCCGCGAAGGUCCGUGGCUUCACUCCUGAGCCAGCGAGACCACGAAGCCCACCAGAAGGAAGAAAUUCCGAACACAUCCGAACAUCAGAAGGAACAAACUCUGGACACGCCACCUUUAGGAACUGUAACACUCACCGCGAGGAUCCGCGGCUUCAUUCUUGAAGUCAGUGAGACCAAGAACCCACUAAUUCCGGACACACAGGGACAGCAAUCCACUGCUUGCCUUGAUGUACGAUUGAAGCCUAUCACCCCUUCUGCAGCAGUGGCUCCAGAGAGCAUCAGUAAAGAUGGCAAGAUUGAAAUCCAAGCAACAGAAUUUCCACUGAAUAGAAAUUUCUGAGGAAAGUGUAAGGACAGGUGUGAGAAUUCUGGUGGCAAGGAUGAGGAAGCAUCCCCCUUCCCAAACAGGAAAGAAGAGCCAAGAGACCUGAAAAGGAGCUGGAGCCAAGAAGGUGAAAAGGUGAGAGUUCCCAUUGCAAAUAACCUUCUCUCUGUAAAUAAAAAUGGAAAGGCACCUGCUGAAAGAUGGGAGACCAUGUGUGAAUUUGGGAAUCUGAGUAAUAAUAAAGCUGUUCCUAACAGUGACUGUGCAGUGCAGCACAAAGUUGCCAGGCUGCUAAAUUUGGGUUACAGAAAUUUGUGAAGAUGCCAAUUCAGGUUUUUUUGUUUUUAUUAAGAAGGAUACUAGCAAUUCUUAAAUCUGUCAGAUCAGAUUAUCUUAAAAUUUCUGAAGGCUUUUUUUCCACACAAACAAAUAAAUAUUUAUAAAAUGAACUAUAUGCUCAUACCCUUAGUGAAAAUAUAUGCACAUCAAUUUAUGACUUGUGUAAGUCAAUUACUAAUUCAAUUACUAAUGGGAAAUUGGAUGAACUCAGUAAAACUGUCUUAACUAUGUCUCUUGAGUUUCUUUUUCUAUUACAUGCUAAAUUACAAUAAAAC
rnacentral:lncRNA from 10 species